rnacentral:rRNA from 1 species
GUGUCAGCAGCCGCGGUAAUACGUAGGGUGCGAGCGUUAAUCGGAAUUACUGGGCGUAAAGCGUGCGCAGGCGGUUCGCUAAGUCUGAUGUGAAAGCCCCGGGCUCAACCUGGGAAUGGCAUUGGAAACUGGCGAGCUUGAGUGUGGCAGAGGGGGGUGGAAUUCCACGUGUAGCAGUGAAAUGCGUAGAGAUGUGGAGGAACACCGAUGGCGAAGGCAGCCCCCUGGGCUAACACUGACGCUCAGGCACGAAAGCGUGGGGAGCAAACAGGAUUAGAUACCCUUGUAGUCC